rnacentral:rRNA from 1 species
UACGUAGGGGGCAAGCGUUAUCCGGAUUUACUGGGUGUAAAGGGAGCGUAGACGGCAGCGCAAGUCUGGAGUGAAAUGCCGGGGCCCAACCCCGGAACUGCUUUGGAGACUGUGCGGCUCGAGUGCGGGAGAGGUAGGCGGAAUUCCUAGUGUAGCGGUGAAAUGCGUAGAUAUUAGGAGGAACACCAGUGGCGAAGGCGGCUUACUGGACCGUAACUGACGUUGAGGCUCGAAAGCGUGGGGAGCAAACAGG